rnacentral:rRNA from 1 species
GUCUAUGGCCAUGCUACCGUGAACAAGCCCGAUCCCUUCUGAUCUUGGAAGCUAAGCAGGGUCUGGCCUGGUUAGUACUUUGAUGGGAGGCCACCUAGAAAGACCAGGUGCUGUAGAUG